UCAUUAGGUAACCUUAAGGUAUACUUGUGCAAUGCAUGAGUGGCAUCCCAUACUACCACUCAUACUAAGUACUUCUCUAGGUCAGCAUACUCAUGUUCCUUAAUUAGAGACUAGUCCCUUUUUGAAAGCAUAGGAACACUACGAAACAUUUUACUAAGUCUAUCUUAGUUCCUCGUUGUUUUGAACCCUAAGAGAUACUAUACUGGAAACAUCUUAGUUCAUCAAGUUUGAACUCUAGGAGAUGCUACAUUAAAGCAUAAUCUUAGUUCACUAAGGUUUAACCCUAGGAGAUACUUCUUCAAGCACAAUCCUAGUUCAUUAAAGUUUGAACUCUAGGAGAUGCUUCAUUAUGCACAAUCUUAGACCACUAUUUUUGUUGGACUCUAGGAGAUGCUACAUGAUGCAUAAUCUUAGCCAAUG
rnacentral:lncRNA from 1 species